rfam:Brachypodium distachyon strain Bd21 chromosome 3, whole genome shotgun sequence.
CUGCUUUCUGUCUAUGUUUGUGGGAUAGUGACAUUGGUGCAUAAAGGAAAAGCUGAUUCUCUAAGCAGUGGCGGCCAGACAACCGUAGAGAUAGAUCCACAGAUGAAUAGCUAAUGUGCUGUUUGUCUACUAAUUCUCUCUCACAUUU